rnacentral:rRNA from 1 species
UACGUAGGGGGCAAGCGUUGUCCGGAUUUAUUGGGCGUAAAGAGCGUGUAGGCGGCUGGGUAGGUCCGUUGUGAAAACUCGAGCUCAACCUCGAGACGCCGAUGGAAACCCUCCAGCUAGAGUCCGGAAGAGGAGAGUGGAAUUCCUGGUGUAGCGGUGAAAUGCGCAGAUAUCAGGAAGAACACCCGUGGCUAAGGCGGCUCUCUAGUACGGUACUGACGCUGAGACGCGAAAGCGUGGGGAG